rnacentral:tRNA from 1 species
AGUUAAUGAACUUGAAUAAGUUUAUAUUUUGAAAAUAUAAUAUAGAAGUUUAACCUUCUAUUAACUU